rnacentral:rRNA from 1 species
GAUGAACGCUAGCUACAGGCUUAACACAUGCAAGUCGAGGGGUAACAUUGGCUGAGCUUGCUCAGCCAGAUGACGACCGGCGCACGGGUGAGUAACGCGUAUCCAACCUGCCCGCCACUCGGGUAUAGCCCAGUGAAAACUGGAUUAAUCCCUGAUGGUCUCCUUUGCGGACAUCUGACGAGGAGUAAAGAUUCAUCGGUGGUGGAUGGGGAUGCGUCCGAUUAGCUAUGUUGGCGGGGUAACGGCCCACCAAGGCAACGAUCGGUAGGGGUUCUGAGAGGAAGGUCCCCCACAUUGGAACUGAGACACGGUCCAAACUCC